GACGAACGCUGGCGGCGUGCCUAAUACAUGCAAGUUGAGCGAUGAAGAUUGGUGCUUGCACCAAUUUGAAGAGCAGCGAACGGGUGAGUAACGCGUGGGGAAUCUGCCUUUGAGCGGGGGACAACAUUUGGAAACGAAUGCUAAUACCGCAUAACAACUUUAAACAUAAGUUUUAAGUUUGAAAGAUGCAAUUGCAUCACUCAAAGAUGAUCCCGCGUUGUAUUAGCUAGUUGGUGAGGUAAAGGCUCACCAAGGCGAUGAUACAUAGCCGACCUGAGAGGGUGAUCGGCCACAUUGGGACUGAGACACGGCCCAAACUCCUACGGGAGGCAGCAGUAGGGAAUCUUCGGCAAUGGACGAAAGUCUGACCGAGCAACGCCGCGUGAGUGAAGAAGGUUUUCGGAUCGUAAAACCCUGUUGGUAGAGAAGAACGUUGGUGAGAGUGGAAAGCUCAUCAAGUGACGGUAACUACCCAGAAAGGGACGGCUAACUACGU
rnacentral:rRNA from 1 species